UUUCAUAUAAUUCGGCUCUCUUGUACACAUGGUGAACACUUAGUACCACCCAUGUGACCUAGCCAAUUUAUCUCGUAGCUUUCUUGUCUACAUGGUGUCCUUCACUUGGAAUCGCACAUGCGACCUAGCUACAUUUAUCCUCUCCCGUAGCUCUCUUGUCUACAUGGGAUACAUCCCGUAUCACACAUGUGACCUAGCUACUACAUAGUGUCUCGUAGCUCUCUUGUACACAUGAUGUGCACUUAGCACCAUACAUGUGACCUAGCUACAUUUCAUCUAUAUUAUUCG
rnacentral:lncRNA from 1 species